GCCGGAAAUGACGAUCGGCGGGAGGGCGGGCUCGCCGGGUAGAAGUGACUUGAAGAAAGAGCGAGAAGUAUAGAAGGGCGCAGGCGCUAGUUCAGUGCUCGUGAGCAAACACCGUCUACAAGAUUCGAGUCAAACAACGUGAGAACUUGAAAUACGUCUCCAUUCUUUUUCCUUAGUACUCUCGUUCAUUCAGUUACGGUAAAGCACUUACUAUAUAUGUUUUUCAUUUUAUCUUGUUCGACUCCUCCUUUGUGCCAUCCUCUCCCUUUUGUCUCACACAUACGCACCACUCACACAUUUAUGAACUCCUUAAUGGCAAUGGUUAUGGCUUUGUCAUUUAUACUCUAGUGCCAGAAAAAUGAAUGGCAUUUAGUGAAUACUCAGCAUGACUGUUUACUGAUUAAAUAGAUUGUUGCAUUACUGAUGGAGGUAAAUAAAAGACCCACUCAAAAUGACACAACUGGUCAGAUACUGAUACAUGUUCAUUUAUUGCUCAUUGUGUGUAGAUAAGAAUAUAACUGGUAAGUUAUGGUACCUACUUGGCUCUAAAGAAUGUAUUAUUUCCUGCUCAUUUGGAUUCUGACUUCUAAGAGUAUUGUGUAUUACGACCAAUUGUGUAGGCUUCAAGGUCAAUUUAAUAUUAGAAGACAGGUUAAUGUAAUUGAUAUAAUUAACAAUAUUAAAAGAUUAAAGAAAAUCAUAUCAAAAGAUGUAUAAGAAGUUUUUGAUAGAAUUCAGCAUUCUUUCACUUAUAAGAAUUCUGAGACACUAGAAAUAGAAGGGACUUUUUUAACCUGAUAGAAUAUCUGAAACCCCACACCUAAUGGUGAAAUACAGAAAGCAUUCUGUAUUAGAUUAGGUACAAGACAGAUGAUUGCUACUGCCUCUUCAAUACAGCAUCGUACUAGAUGUUCAGGUAACUUAAAAAUGCAUAAAUCUUCCAAAGAAAGUUGUAAAUCUGUGAUUAGAAAUUGUUUUAGAGGUUAUAUACAAAGAAAAGAGGCAAGGUGUGGUGGCUCAUGCCUGUAAUUCCAGUUCCCAGUACUUUGGGAGGCUGAGAUGGGAGGAUCACUCCAGCCCAGGAGUUCAAGACCAGCCUGGGCAACAAAGUGAGACCCAGGCUCUACAAAAAAAUUAAAAAAUUAGCCGGGCAUGGUGGUACACUCCUGUGAUCCCAGCUACAUGGGACACUGAGGCAGGAGGAUCGCUUGAGCCCAGAAGUUCAUGGCUGCAAUAAGCCCUAUUUCUGCCACUGCACUGCAGCCUGGACGAUGAGGUAAGACCAUGUCUCAAAAGAAAAAAAUAAAAAUAAAAAUUAUUGGAAUUAAUGAGAGAAUUUAGAAAGGUUACUGAAGUUGUUUUUUUCUUUUUUUAAAAGAGAUGAAGUCUCACUAUGUUACCCAGGCUAGGUGCGAUGCCUAGGUUACUGGGUUUUGUUGUUGUUGUUGUUGUUUUAAGUGUAAUGAAGAAAUCACAUUUCUAUACAUUAGCAACAACAAAAAAUGUAAUUUUAAAAUAUGCCAUGUUAAAUAGCAUCAAGAAUUAUAAAGUACAUAGGAAUAAAAAAACAAAGUGUACUCCCCAGCAGAAAAAAAACUGGCACGCUGAAAUGUAGAAGUUGAGAGCAAUGUAAUGAAGGGAUCAGUUACAGAAGUGUGGCCAGGAUCAAAAGUAAACAAAAAGGAGAAAAUGGGGCACUAACCAUAGAUCUGAACGAGAAACUGAAAGGGAGCAGUUAUCUGAACCUGAUUUAUUUGAGAAAGGUACGGUUGCAGGAGAAGGCUCUGGGCGAGAGCUGGAAUAAUCAGUAGAAGAACACAACUGCUCCCAAUUAUCAUCAGCACAGCCAUGGGGAAGAAGUGGGGAAAUGAAUAUCUACUUUUAGAUCUCCCAUGCUUCCCAUUGGUCAAACCCAGCCAGAGCCCAGAAGACAAGGGAGCCCUUUAAUGGGGUCCAUAAAUGUCAGCCUUCUAGGACUUAAACCAUAGUACAAAAAGGAGAAAAGGGGAUCUCGUUAAAUAAAGGAAUACCCAACAUGAUGUUCAAUAUUAUUUAAUGCCUCUCAGCAAAAUGUAUCAUUCUCUAUUAAAGGCAUUAAAUAAUAUUAAAAUAAAUGGAAAAAUGGAUAUAUUGUGUUGGUGGGUUGGCAGGUUCAAUUUUGGGAAAAUAUCAGUGCUCUCCUGUUAUGGACUGAAUUGGGUUCCCCUCCUCCAAAUUCCUGUGUUAAAGUCCUAAUCCUCACUAUCUCAGAAUGUGACUGUAUUUGGAUAAGUAAGGUAAAAUUAGGUCAUAUGAGUGGGCCUUAAUCCAAUGCAACAGUUGUCUUCAUUGAGAAGAGGAGAUGAGGACACAGACAACACAAAGGAAUGACCAGAUGAGGACAGAGUGAGAAGGUGGCCAUCUGCAAGUCAUGGGGAGAGACCUCAGAGAAGAAAGGAAACUUACAGACCUUAAUCUUGGACUUCUAGCCUCUAGAACUGUGAGAAAAUAAAUUUCCAUUGUUUAAGCC